AUACAAGUGUAGGAAAAUAAGUGUAGAUAUAGCAUAGCUCAAAGAUGAAGGAAAACGCUGAAGGAGAAACUUCUUAUAUUGCUAAGAGAUAGUAGAAAGCUCACAAGGAUACUGGGCUCUUUUGAUCAAUUUGGAUUAUUGUUAGUGAUCUAUAUUGCUUUAUCCCUCUGGGCUAUAUGACGUGGCUGUGUUAAAUUUAAG